rnacentral:rRNA from 1 species
UACGUAGGGGGCAAGCGUUGUCCGGAUUUAUUGGGCGUAAAGAGCGUGUAGGCGGCCAUACAGGUCAGCUGUGAAAACUCGAGGCUCAACCUCGGGACGUCGGUUGAAACCGUAUGGCUAGAGUCCGGAAGAGGAGAGUGGAAUUCCCGGUGUAGCGGUGAAAUGCGCAGAUAUCAGGAAGAACACCGGUGGCGAAGGCGGUGGGCUGGGCCGGCACUAACGCUGAGGAGCGAAAGCGUGGGGAGCGAACAGG